rnacentral:lncRNA from 1 species
UAUCAUGAAGAAGAUGAUGAAGAUGAAGGAGUUGAGCGAAGAAGAUGAAGAAAUAGAAACAAAACUUAGUUGGUGAUGGUGCACUGUUAGAUUCUGUGGACAUGCAAAAUCUAAUGGUUGUUUCUCUUUCGAAAGAUCCAAUGGUUAAAAUUAAAAAAUAUAUUGUAGUAUAUGGUGGACCACCUUCAAUGUUGAUCCACCUAAUACAUUUGUGGUUGAUAAAUUAACGGAAAGGACCAAUGUGACAAACAGAGAUAUCUUUAAGGGACCAAUCCGGUCCUUUUUUUCUUUAAGGGACAAUUAUGAAAUCUAAAAUAUCUUUAAGGGACCAAAAUACUAAUUAAGCC